rnacentral:lncRNA from 1 species
CAGGCAUUAAUGAUUUUUGAAAUACGAGAGGUCUUCAGCUAUUUUGUCGUUUCGAUAACUGUGAGAUCAUCAUUGAGAUGUCAUUUCAAGAAGAUAAUUCGGCAUCCAAAAAAUUUGGAUGAUUUGAUUCUGACUAGUAGAUUUUGGCCACGUAUCUGGAUGUCAUUGGCUUUGUGCUGUUCACGCGAAUAAUGGUGAGGCGGC